rnacentral:rRNA from 1 species
AUUGAACGCUGGCGGCAGGCCUAACACAUGCAAGUCGAGCGGAGCGGCGGACGGGUGAGUAAUGACUAGGAAUCUGCCUGGUAGUGGGGGAUAACGUCCGGAAACGGGCGCUAAUACCGAAUACGAUGGGAUAGGCCAAGGUGGGAGUAGCUAGUGGGUGGGGUAAGGGCCGACCAAGGCGACGAACCCUAGCUGGUCUGAGAGGAUGAUCAGCCACACUGGAACUGAGACACGGUCCAGACUCCUACGGGAGGCAGCAGUGGGGAAUAUUGCACAAUGGGGGAAACCCUGAUUCAGCCAUGCCGCGUGUGUGAAGAAGGCCUUCGGAUUGUAAAGCACUUUCAGCUGGGAGGCGUUACUCGCAGAAUAAGCACCGGCUAACUCCGUGCCAGCAGCCGCGGUAAUAC